rnacentral:rRNA from 1 species
AUUGAACGCUGGCGGCAUGCCUUACACAUGCAAGUCGAACGGUAACAGGUCUUCGGAUGCUGACGAGUGGCGAACGGGUGAGUAAUACAUCGGAACGUGCCCGAUCGUGGGGGAUAACGAAGCGAAAGCUUUGCUAAUACCGCAUAAGAUCUAAGGAUGAAAGCAGGGGACCGCAAGGCCUUGCGCGAACGGAGCGGCCGAUGGCAGAUGAGGUAGUUGGUGGGAUAAAAGCUUACCAAGCCGACGAUCUGUAGCUGGUCUGAGAGGACGACCAGCAACACUGGGACUGAGACACGGCCCAGACUCCUACGGGAGGCAGCAGUGGGGAAUUUUGGACAAUGGGCGAAAGCCUGAUCCAGCCAUGCCGCGUGCAGGAUGAAGGCCUUCGGGUUGUAAACUGCUUUUGUACGGAACGAAAAGACUCUUUCUAAUAAAGAGGGUCCAUGACGGUACCGUAAGAAUAAGCACCGGCUAACUACGUGCCAGCAGCCGCAGUAACAC